AGUCGAGGGGCAGCAUUUUAGUUUGCUUGCAAACUGAAGAUGGCGACCGGCGCACGGGUGAGUAACACGUAUCCAACCUGCCGAUAACUCUGGAAUAGCCUUUCGAAAGAAAGAUUAAUACCGGAUGGCAUACGAAUAUCGCAUGAUAUUUUUAUUAAAGAAUUUCGGUUAUCGAUGGGGAUGCGUUCCAUUAGUUUGUUGGCGGGGUAACGGCCCACCAAGACAACGAUGGAUAGGGGUUCUGAGAGGAAGGUCCCCCACAUUGGAACUGAGACACGGUCCAAACUCCUACGGGAGGCAGCAGUGAGGAAUAUUGGUCAAUGGGCGAGAGCCUGAACCAGCCAAGUAGCGUGAAGGAUGAAGGCUCUAUGGGUCGUAAACUUCUUUUAUAUGGGAAUAAAGUUUUCCACGUGUGGAAUUUUGUAUGUACCAUAUGAAUAAGGAUCGGCUAACUCCGUGCCAGCAGCCGCGGUAAUACGGAGGAUCCGAGCGUUAUCCGGAUUUAUUGGGUUUAAAGGGAGCGUAGGUGGAUUGUUAAGUCAGUUGUGAAAGUUUGCGGCUCAACCGUAAAAUUGCAGUUGAAACUGGCAGUCUUGAGUACAGUAGAGGUGGGCGGAAUUCGUGGUGUAGCGGUGAAAUGCUUAGAUAUCACGAAGAACUCCGAUUGC
rnacentral:rRNA from 1 species